rnacentral:misc_RNA from 1 species
CGCAGCCGCGGUAAUUCCAGCUCCAAUAGCGUAUAUUAAAGUUGUUGCAGUUAAAAGCUCGUAGUUGAAUUUCGGGAUCAAUUAAUCGGUCGUGCCUCUGGUACGCACUGGUUUUAUUGGUUUCUCCCUUCUGACGAACCAGGAUGUCAUUAAUUUGGUGUCUUGGAGAAUCAGGACUGUUACUUUGAAAAAUUAGAGUGUUUAAAGCAGGCUAACGCUUGAAUACAUUAGCAUGGAAUAAUGAAAUAGGACGUUUGAUCCUAUUUUGUUGGUUUCUAGGAUCGACGUAAUGAUUAAUAGGGAUAGUUGGGGGCAUUAGUAUUCAAUUGUCAGAGGUGAAAUUCUUGGAUUUAUUGAAGACUAACUACUGCGAAAGCAUUUGCCAAGGAUGUUUUCAUUAAUCAAGAACGAAAGUUAGGGAUCGAAGACGAUCAGAUACCGUCGUAGUCUUAACCAUAAACUAUGCCGACUAGGGAUCGGAUGAUGUUAAUUUUUUAAUGUACUCAUU